rnacentral:rRNA from 1 species
AUUGAACGCUGGCGGCAUGCCUUACACAUGCAAGUCGAACGGUAACAGGUCUUCGGAUGCUGACGAGUGGCGAACGGGUGAGUAAUACAUCGGAACGUGCCCGAUCGUGGGGGAUAACGAAGCGAAAGCUUUGCUAAUACCGCAUAAGAUCUACGGAUGAAAGCAGGGGACCGCAAGGCCUUGCGCGAACGGAGCGGCCGAUGGCAGAUUAGGUAGUUGGUGGGAUAAAAGCUUACCAAGCCGACGAUCUGUAGCUGGUCUGAGAGGACGACCAGCAACACUGGGACUGAGACACGGCCAAGACUCCUACGGGAGGCAGCAGUGGGGAAUUUUGGACAAUGGGCGAAAGCCUGAUCCAGCCAUGCCGCGUGCAGGAUGAAGGCCUUCGGGUUGUAAACUGCUUUUGUACGGAACGAAAAGACUCUUUCUAAUAAAGAGGGUCCAUGACGGUACCGUAAGAAUAAGCACCGGCUAACUACGUGCCAGCAGCCGCCGUAA